CUUGGUCAUCGGCCCAGCGGGCGUUGGCAAGUCGCUAUUGGCAUUGCAAUUCAUUCAAUCAGCCGUCAAACGCGGCGAGAAGGCUGCAAUGUUCGUUUUCGACGAAGAAAUUGGCUUGCUGAUCGCAAGAGCCAAACAACUCGGUAUCGACUUACAAGCAAUGUGUGACGCAAAUCAGCUCUUCAUCGAGCAGAUGGAUGCGGCAGAACUCUCGCCGGGCGAGUUUUCGCAUCGGGUGCGAACCCGAGUCG
rnacentral:misc_RNA from 1 species